rnacentral:rRNA from 1 species
UAAAGAUUCAUCGCUGAUAGAUAGGCAUGCGUUCCAUUAGGCAGUUGGCGGGGUAACGGCCCACCAAACCGACGAUGGAUAGGGGUUCUGAGAGGAAGGUCCCCCACAUUGGUACUGAGACACGGACCAAACUCCUACGGGAGGCAGCAGUGAGGAAUAUUGGUCAAUGGGCGUAAGCCUGAACCAGCCAAGUCGCGUGAGGGAUGAAGGUUCUAUGGAUCGUAAACCUCUUUUAUAAGGGAAUAAAGUGUGGGACGUGUCCUGUUUUGUAUGUACCUUAUGAAUAAGGAUCGGCUAACUCCGUGCCAGCAGCCGCGGUAAUACGGAGGAUCCGAGCGUUAUCCGGAUUUAUUGGGUUUAAAGGGUGCGUAGGCGGCCUUUUAAGUCAGCGGUGAAAGUCUGUGGCUCAACCAUAGAAUUGCCGUUGAAACUGGGGGGCUUGAGUAUGUUUGAGGCAGGCGGAAUGCGUGAUGUAGCGGUGAAAUGCUUAGAUAUCACGCAGAACCCCGAUUGCGAAGGCAGCCUGCCAAGCCAUGACUGACGCUGAUGCACGAAAGCGUGGGGAUCAAACAGGAUUAGAUACCCUGGUAGUCCACGCAGUAAACGAUGAUCACUAGCUGUUUGCGAUACAGUGUAA